UACAUUAGUGCUUGCGCACAACAAUAUAUUUCAUUACAUUCGAGUAUGUGUAAAUUCCUCUGCCGGCCGAAGCUAGCAAAGGCCAAAGGUUCACAGGGUAUUGGAUGAAAGUCACCGCCGUGCACUUGCCAGAGCUGGCCAGCACUGAAGGUAACGAUUCGCAAUCAAUAAUGAUCCUUCCGCAGGUUCACCUACGGAAA
rnacentral:misc_RNA from 1 species